rnacentral:rRNA from 1 species
GGCCUAUCAGCUUGUUGGUGGGGUGAUGGCCUACCAAGGCGACGACGGGUAGCCGGCCUNAGAGGGUGAUCGGCCACAUUGGGACUGAGAUACGGCCCAGACUCCUACGGGAGGCAGCAGUGGGGAAUAUUGCACAAUGGGCGGAAGCCUGAUGCAGCGACGCCGCGUGAGGGAUGACGGCCUUCGGGUUGUAAACCUCUUUCAGCAGGGACGAAGCGUAAGUGACGGUACCUGCAGAAGAAGCACCGGCUAACUACGCGCCAGCAGCCGCGGUAAUACGUAGGGUGCGAGCGUUGUCCGGAAUUAAUGGGCGUAAAGAGCUUGUAGGCGGCUUGUCGCGUCUGCUGUGAAAGCCCGGGGCUUAACCCCGGGUCUGCAGUGGGUACGGGCAGGCUAGAGUGUGGUAGGGGAGACUGGAAUUCCUGGUGUAGCGGUGGAAUGCGCAGAUAUCAGGAGGACCACCGAUGGCGAAGGCAGGUCUCUGGGCCAUUACUGACGCUGAGAAGCGAAAGCGUGGGGAGCGAACAGGAUUAGAUACCCUGGUAGUCCACGCCGUAAACGUUGGGCGCUAGGUGUGGGUCCCAUUCCACGGGGUCCGUGCCGCAGCUAACGCAUUAAGCGCCCCGCCUGGGGAGUACGG